GACGAACGUUGGCGGCGUGCUUAAUACAUGCAAGUCAACUGAAGCAGUGGUAGCAAUAUCGCUGUGGAGGUGGCGCACGGGUGAGUAACACGUAGGUAAUCUGCCUUCAGGUCUGGCAUAACUCCGGGAAACCGGGGCUAAUAGCAGAUGAUGCAGCGGCUCGACAUCGAGACAGUUGUUAAAGCUAUGGCGCCUGAAGAUGAGCCUGCGUCUGAUUAGCUAGUUGGCGGGGUAACGGCCCACCAAGGCAACGAUCAGUCGCUGGUCUGAGAGGAUGAUCAGCCACAGUGGAACUGAGACACGGUCCAGACUCCUACGGGAGGCAGCAGUAAGGAAUAUUGCUCAAUGGGAGAAAUACUGAAGCAGCAACGCCGCGUGAGGGACGAAGGGCUUUUGCUUGUAAACCUCUGUAGUGAGAGAAAAAAAUCCCAAUCUUUGGGACAUGAUGGUAUCUCAAAAGUAAGCCCCGGCUAACUACGUG
rnacentral:rRNA from 1 species